GUGUUCCUGCUUAGUGUGGCUCGAGCUUCCUUGGGGCCGGCAGCAACGGAGAGCAGCAGAGGCGAGGCUGCAGGAUAGCGGGAGGUUUCGUCCGGCCGGAAUGGUCUGCCGGGAAAACAGAAGGUGUGUGAUAGCCAAGAGGGACACCGUGGCUCAUUUCAUUCGCUAUAAAAGGUUUUACGAAGAAUGUGAGUCGGAGCAGAGCUCUGAAGCCAGAAAGGAGAAAUGGAAUGGAAGAUCACUUGAAGAAUAAGGAACAACACGGCGUAGAGGCAUCAAGUCCAGGAAUUGCUGCUCAGAACCCACCAGCUCCUGAUUCUUGAGUUCAACAUCACGGAGGACUAGUACGCCGUGACCUUCAGACCAUCUCAAACCCCAAAAUCAAGAGUCUUGGGUUUGUUUUUUAAUAGGAAAUGAAGCAUGAGAAAUGUAUUUCAAAUAACUCAAAAAUUCUCACUAUUUUAGGAAGAGAAAGGAUUGCAUGUCUUGAAAACUGAAAAAAAGUCAUCACUUUUUUUUAAUAUACUACUGAGAAGUGGAGUGUUCUGUGGGAAGGGGCUGACUUUUGUAUUAAAGUAGUAGGAUUCUA